ACGCUCGACACCUACGGGACGCAGCAGUGGGGAAUAUUGCACAAUGGGGGAAACCCUGAUGCAGCGACGCCGCGUGAGCGAAGAAGUAUUUCGGUAUGUAAAGCUCUAUCAGCAGGGAAGAAACUGACGGUACCUGACUAAGAAGCACCGGCUAAAUACGUGCCAGCAGCCGCGGUAAUCUGAGCGGGCUGGCAAGGC
rnacentral:rRNA from 1 species